rnacentral:rRNA from 1 species
UACGGAGGGUGCAAGCGUUAUCCGGAUUUACUGGGCUUAAAGGGUGUGUAGGCGGACUUUUAAGUCCGUGGUGAAAUCUCCGGGCUCAACCCGGAAACUGCCAUGGAUACUAUUGGUCUUGAAUGUUGUUGAGGUGGGCGGAACGGGUCAUGUAGCGGUGAAAUGCAUAGAUAUGACCCGGAACACCGAUUGCGAAGGCAGCCCACUAAGCAAUGAUUGACGCUGAGGCACGAAAGCGUGGGGAUCAAACAGG